GAUGAACGCUGGCGGCGUGCCUAAUACAUGCAAGUCGAGCGAACAGACGAGGAGCUUGCUCCUCUGACGUUAGCGGCGGACGGGUGAGUAACACGUGGAUAACCUACCUAUAAGACUGGGAUAACUUCGGGAAACCGGAGCUAAUACCGGAUAAUAUAUUGAACCGCAUGGUUCAAUAGUGAAAGACGGUUUUGCUGUCACUUAUAGAUGGAUCCGCGCCGCAUUAGCUAGUUGGUAAGGUAACGGCUUACCAAGGCAACGAUGCGUAGCCGACCUGAGAGGGUGAUAGGCCACACUGGAACUGAGACAGGGUCCAGACUCCUACGGGAGGCAGCAGGAGGGAAUCUACCGCAAUGGGCGAAAGCCUGACGGAGCAACGCCGCGUGAGUGAUGAAGGUCUUCGGAUCGUAAAACUAUGUUAGUAGGGAAGAACAAAUGUGUAAGUAACUAUGCACGUCUUGACGGUACCUAAUCAGAAAGCCACGGCUAACUACGUG
rnacentral:rRNA from 1 species